GGUAAACGCUAGCGGUGUGCCUUAUGCAUGCAAGUCGAACGGUUCCGAUUUAUCGGAACAGUGGCGAACGGGUGAGUAACACGUAAGUAACUUGCCCCUAAGUAGGGGAUAACUCCGAGAAAUUGGAGCUAAUACCGUAGUGGUGGUGGAGAUAAUGAUUCACCACUAAAGCCUUAGGGUGCUUGGGGAGAGGCUUGCGUCCGAUUAGCUAGUUGGUAGGGUAAUGGUCUACCAAGGCGAUGAUCGGUAGCUGGUUUGAGAGGACGUCCAGCCACAUUGGGACUGAGACACGGCCCAGACUCCUACGGGAGGCAGCAGCAAGGAAUAUUGUGCAAUGGGCGAAAGCCUGACACAGCGACACCGCGUGGGGGAUGAAGGCCUUCGGGUUGUAAACCCCUUUUCUCAGGGAAGAAUAAUGACGGUACCUGAGGAAUAAGUCGUGGCUAACUACGUGCCAGCAGCCGCGGUAAUACGUAGGCGGCGAGCGUUAUCCGGAUUUACUGGGCGUAAAGAGGGCGCAGGCGGUUUUUCAAGUCGAAUGUAAAAUCUCCCGGCUUAACUGGGAGGGACCAUUCGAUACUGCUGGGCUAGAGGGCAGCAGAAGGAGGCGGAAUUCCCGGUGUAGUGGUGAAAUGCGUAGAUAUCGGGAGGAACACCAGUGGCGAAGGCGGCCUCCUAGGCUGUUUCUGACGCUGAGGCCCAAAAGCGUGGGGAGCGAACAGGAUUAGAUACCCUGGUAGUCCACGCCGUAAACUAUGGACACUAGGUAUAGGGAGUAUCGACCCUCUCUGUGCCGAAGUUAACACGUUAAGUGUCCCGCCUGGGGAGACGGCCGCAAGGCU
rnacentral:rRNA from 1 species